GAUGAAGAACGCAGUGAAAUGCGAUAAGUAAUGUGAAUUGCAGAAUUCAGUGAAUCAUCGAAUCUUUGAACGCACCUUGCGCUCCUUGGUAUUCCGAGGAGCAUGCCUGUUUGAGUGUCAUUAAAUUCUCAACCUCACCCGUUUUCUGAACGGGUCGAGGCUUGGAUGUGGGGGUUUGUGCAGGCUGCCUCACUGGCGGUCUGCUCCCCUGAAAUGCAUUAGCGAGGUUCAUGCUGAACUUCCGUCUAUUGGUGUGAUAAUUAUCUACGCCGUGGACGAGGAUCAGACUCGCUUCUAACUGUCCGCGAGGACAAUACCUUGACAAUUUGACCUCAAAUCAGGUAGGACUACCCGCUGAACUUAAGCAUAUCAAUAAGCGGAGGA
rnacentral:misc_RNA from 1 species